UCCUCUCCAUCUUCCUCUCCCCUUUGACCCCUCCCCCCAGUUCUCCAGUAAUCUGAUUUUGAUUUCUUCUGUUUUCGUAAGAACAAUGUGUGCAGAUCUGUAAAAGAAGAGAAGAGGAAGAAUCCCAAGGAAGAGUUUGGUGAAGAAGAAUAAGGUGACUAUGUGAGUUGCAUUGACAGAAUCCAUGUAUUAAGCUGGGGCAUUUUUGGCAGCUGCAGCAACCUGACAAUUCAUUUGUUCUCAUACAAGAUGCUUGUGAAGUACAUGGGGAAGGCGCGCAUGGUUGAUGAUUAUGUUCUGGAUUGGAGGCCGAAGCAAACUCCGUCAGGUUUCAGAUAAUUACUUCAGGUUAGGCGGGAGAAAUAAAAAGGGUAACCAUAGAUAUAUGGUGUAGCAUCAUGAGGUUCAGGUUCCUGCUGUUGAUCAACCGUUGCUUCGGUCGAGUGCGAACCCGGAUCAGUUGCUGCUCCAAACCAGACAAUUUGGAGGA